CCCCAUCUCCCAUGCGGUCACUGUCAUGUAAGUUGUCACAUGUCACUCCAUUCAGUGUGGCAGCUCUCCAUGGGAAUGUGUGGGAAGUGGCCAAGGGUUUGAGAGACAAUAAUUCAUUGCGGAUGUCACCUGUCAGCCUCUCCUUUGUCCAGGGAGGUCCCAUCCUCACCACAUGGGCUGCCGAGACAUCUGGUUCUCUGAUCCGUGAAGGUCAUCCUGCUUCCUCUGUGUCUGACUGUCAAGAGCUCCCUGGGGCAGCUGGCACAUCGGGACAAUCCUGGGUACCUCUUCAAGGCACAGGAAACUUUCAGCUAUACUCCCACCCCCAAAGGAAGACUCAGGAGAGUGUCCCAGAAUCUUUGUCUAAAUAUCCCAGGUGGAUAUUUCUACUCUGUGUAGACUCACACUCAAAGAGGCUCUUUUCUCCCAGAAUCUCAGGCAGGGAGUGGGAUACAGGUCUCUGAGCAGUUUUCUCCAGUGUGGACGGCCCCUGUCUCUCGGUGCCGACUUCGGAAAGGAGCAGAGUGGGCAGAGGCCCUCUCAGGCUCCAACCUGUGGCCUUUGAAUGUCACCCUCCCUUCAGCUGGGCAGACUUUUAUCUGCUUUUGGAUAAGAAGAAAGCUGCUCAGAUAGCAUCUCAUGUUCUUCCCAAGUUCGUGGUUUAUGACAUAAAUUUUGUGCUUUGUGUCCUCCAGGCUUUUCUCUUUGUAGUCAAAGCCAAGCUUUUGGCAACAAAGA
rnacentral:lncRNA from 1 species